UACGUAGGGUGCGAGCGUUGUCCGGAAUUAUUGGGCGUAAAGGGCUCGUAGGCGGUCUGUCGCGUCUGCUGUGAAAACUCGGGGCUUAACCCCGGGCCUGCAGUGGGUACGGGCAGACUAGAGUGCGGUAGGGGAGACUGGAAUUCCUGGUGUAGCGGUGGAAUGCGCAGAUAUCAGGAAGAACACCGAUGGUGAAGGCAGUUCUCUGGGCCGUAACUGACGCUGAGGAGCGAAAGCGUGGGGAGCGAACAGG
rnacentral:rRNA from 1 species